GCGGCCUAUCAGCUUGUUGGUGAGGUAACGGCUCACCAAGGCUACGACGGGUAACCGGCCUGAGAGGGCGAACGGUCACACUGGGACUGAGACACGGCCCAGACUCCUACGGGAGGCAGCAGUGGGGAAUAUUGGGCAAUGGGCGGAAGCCUGACCCAGCGACGCCGCGUGAGGGAUGAAGGCCUUCGGGUUGUAAACCUCUUUCAGCAGGGAAGAAGCGAAAGUGACGGUACCUGCAGAAGAAGCACCGGCUAACUAUGUGCCAGCAGCCGCGGUAAUACAUAGGGUGCAAGCGUUGUCCGGAAUUAUUGGGCGUAAAGAGCUCGUAGGUGGCUCGUCACGUCGAAUGUGAAACCCUGAGGCUCAACCUCAGGCCUGCAUCCGAUACGGGCGAACUGGAGUGUGGUAGGGGAGACUGGAAUUCCU
rnacentral:rRNA from 1 species